GAAGAGGAAGAAGGGCAGGUGACAUGUGCUGAGGAGGCCCCACCCAUAUAAUCAGCUACCUGAAGAUGAAAAGUGAUUUGUUCAUAUCACUGACAGUUCCUGCC